rnacentral:rRNA from 1 species
UACGUAGGGUGCAAGCGUUGUCCGGAAUUAUUGGGCGUAAAGAGCUCGUAGGCGGUCUGUCGCGUCGGCUGUGAAAGCCCGGGGCUUAACCCCCGGGUCGGCAGUGGAUACGGGCAGGCUAGAGGUAGGUAGGGGAGAAUGGAAUUCCCGGUGUAGCGGUGAAAUGCGCAGAUAUCGGGAGGAACACCGGUGGCGAAGGCGGUUCUCUGGGCCUUACCUGACGCUGAGGAGCGAAAGCGUGGGGAGCGAACAGG